UCCUGGCCCUAAACGAUGUUCAUUGGGUGUUAAAGGUAUCGACCCCUUUAGUGCCGUAGCUAACGCGUUAAAUGAACCGCCUGGGGAUUACGACCGCAAGGUUAAAACUCAAAAGAAUUGACGGGGGCCCGCACAAGCGGUGGAGCAUGUGGUUUAAUUCGAUGCUACGCGAACAACCUUACCUGGGCUUGACAUGCUGGUAGUAGUGAACCGAAAGGGGAACGAUCCGUAGCAAUACGGAGGCCAGCACAGGUGCUGCAUGGCUGUCGUCAGUUCGUGUCGUGAGAUGUUGGGUUAAGU
rnacentral:rRNA from 1 species